UCAGGACGAACGCUGGCGGCGUGCUUAACACAUGCAAGUCGAGCGGAAAGGCCCUUUCGGGGGUACUCGAGCGGCGAACGGGUGAGUAACACGUGAGUAAUCUGCCCCAGGCUCUGGGAUAGCCACCGGAAACGGUGAUUAAUACCGGAUAUGACGACUGGCCGCAUGGUUGGUUGUGGAAAGUUUUUUCGGCUUGGGAUGUGCUCGCGGCCUAUCAGCUUGUUGGUGGGGUAAUGGCCUACCAAGGCUUUGACGGGUAGCCGGCCUGAGAGGGUGACCGGCCACACUGGGACUGAGACACGGCCCAGACUCCUACGGGAGGCAGCAGUGGGGAAUAUUGGACAAUGGGCGGAAGCCUGAUCCAGCAACGCCGCGUGAGGGAUGACGGCCUUCGGGUUGUAAACCUCUUUCAGUGCAGACGAAGCGCAAGUGACGGU
rnacentral:rRNA from 1 species